CCUACGGGAGGCAGCAGUGGGGGAUAUUGCACAAUGGGGGAAACCCUGAUGCAGCGACGCCGCGUGAGUGAAGAAGUAUUUCGGUAUGUAAAGCUCUAUCAGCAGGGAAGAAGAAAGACGGUACCUGAGUAAGAAGCCCCGGCUAACUACGUGCCAGCAGCCGCGGUAAUACGUAGGGGGCAAGCGUUAUCCGGAUUUACUGGGUGUAAAGGGAGCGUAGACGGUAUGGCAAGUCUGAAGUGAAAGCCCCGGGCUCAACCUGGGAACUGCUUUGGAAACUGUUAAACUAGAGUGCUGGAGAGGCAGGCGGAAUUCCUAGUGUAGCGGUGAAAUGCGUAGAUAUUAGGAGGAACACCAGUGGCGAAGGCGGCCUGCUGGACAGUAACUGACGUUGAGGCUCGAAAGCGUGGGGAGCAAACAGGAUUAGAUACCCCUGUAGUC
rnacentral:rRNA from 1 species